UUUACGUAUAAAAAUGCCGUUUGUUUGUCCAAGGGACAGGUAGGGUGGGGCGUUCAUGCGGAGAGAUGCGACAGGGCUGACUUCAGAGAGAAAUACGACAACAACCGCAGUCGGGUUUGGAACGCGGGAUACACGGUCGCAGCGUGGAGACGUAAAAUCACCAAACAAACACGACAAAGAACGCCAGCGGCUUUUGGUCAGGGAAGAAAGCUACUUGGUACUUUGAAACAAAAAAAUUUGCCUUAAAUGAUGCAGUCUAAGGCAAUCUUAACUAAUUAUUGUUUCUUAAAGUAGAUAAAAUUCAGCAAAAAGCUUUAAAAAGAGAUAUCUCAGGCACAAUAUCAAUGUCAGGGGAGCGCAGAGUCUUCUUUGAACUUCCUGCCAGCGGCGAGUCACUUACGGGAGUUUUAUAGCACCGGCUUAGCAGUGGCAGCCUUCUGGAUCUGUCACAUCUUGUUUUAUUUGCAUCAGAGGCUAUAAUUAUAUUCAUACGAAGUAUACCCUAUCUGAGAAGCCGAAAGCGGGCCCUGAUUUAUGCUCCCUACAAGGCAGCUCUUCCCCUCCCGGACGCGAUGUGCCCCGACGCGGGGGCGGCUGCCCCACACGCCCCUGCGGGACACGCGGACGUGUUGCGGGGUGGCCGCCGGCCCCGGCACCUUCCCCGCGCGGUGCUGCGCUCGGGGCGUCCCGCCGCACGCCAGAGCUCGUCGCGGUGACGGGCGGGAGACGGAAACACGCCCGGGGAGCGCCGACACGUCCAGCGCGCCGGGGCGGCGAGGCCCGCAAGGCCCGCAAGGCCCGCAAGGCCCGCAAGGCCCACAAGGCCCGCAAGGCCCGCAAGGCCCGCAGGCGGGAGCACAACCGCUCGCUCCCGCGCGGCAGCCGCGGCUCACGGGGAGCAGCACAGUGGCUUGCAGGUUCGGAUGAGACCCUAAAUUAUUAACCUGGCUCUAUGGAGAGGAUGAUGCUGGUCCCACAGCAGCACUCACAGCUGCCUCCCCAGCUCAGAGCCUUUAGUGCUGAAUUAGCCAUGGUUUGUCUAUAUAGGUAGGUGUUUACUGGAAAACAAUUUGAAAAAGAAACGGGCAGAAAAUUUCCAGUGCGACUGCAGAGAUAGAUAGACUCCCACGUGCUGCUUCCUUAGACAGGAACUUCCAAAGCUGCCGUAGCAGGUGUCUCCAGUUUACACAGCUCGUUAGCUGGAUCUCUAUUUCAGGAGCUUCUGCCUUCCUUUGCUGAUAUUCCCCUUAGCAGUGGAAGAGCAGUGAUUCCCUGCUUGGUGUGUGAGAAACGUGCCCGUCCCUGCAGCGCACGUGGCACGGCGGCGCAGCACCGCUGCUCCGCUUUGCUGCCGUCUGUUUGCACCGAAACAUGUCCCUGUGCGUGGUGUCGGUGGCAGCGACAUUCGUAGGAUAUUCAAGAUCAUCAAUCUAACGUGGGCAAUAUGGGAGUCUGAGGCCAGGAUUUGACAGGCCUGGAGUGCUGUGUUUCACCAUGCGCACAGGGUCCCUGCUUUACUGUCCUAGGAGGGGCAGAAACAAAGGUCUGGAGGUCUCUGCCUGUAGCAGGACGAGGUCAGACAAGGGCAGGCGGGUGUUUGGCUCUAGGGAGACUGCCCGAGCUCCACAUACUCAUUACAGACCUGUUGCCUAAUGCUGCAAAGCUACAAACACUGGGAACAUGGCAAUGUCCUGCCCUCUCCACCCUGCGAGGGAGGUUUGCCUCGCUCUAUCAGCGAGUGCCAUCUCCUAACUCCCUGGGCACCUGGAAGUAGCGAGGGCGGAAGCACGCCUGGGGCACAGACGAUGUGCAGCUCAGAGGAGCCACGUGUCGUCGUUACAAGCACUUCCAGCGCUGGCCCCGCUUGGUUCAGGUAGUGGAUAUUGCCCAUGGAUAGCGGAGCUGACAGAAGACGGAGGAGCAGGUAGGCACAGCCACCGGCUGCUGCCGACAAGUGCUCUCGGAGCGAACCGAAGGAUGGGCAUAUCGAGACGCGUGUAUAGAGAAGACUUUCUCUGAUAUAUGACUGAUAGUCUCUUGUUGAAGUCUCGGAAAUGCUAUGGUCAGGAGGAGAAAACAAGGGAUAAACAUGGAAUGCAGUGGAAUUAUAAGACUGGAGACUUGGAGAGGGAAGGGCCAUGCCUGCUGUGGAGCAGACGUGUGCAGAUGUCAGUACGGGGGCAGAUACAGGACUCUCUUCCCCAUGGUGAGGAAUUGAGCACCCUUCUUAAUGGCAGGACUGGUAUAGCAGCUGGGAAUUGAGACUUCAACAUGAGAAGAAAAAUAAAAGCAAAAAGUCCGGAGCAAAUACUGGGAGGACAGACUGGCGAGACAGAUUCCUGGUUUUGCAGAGUCAAACAUGUAAAGUGUUAUAUGUCUUUCCUGAGGAAGCCUCAUGUGGGCAGGGACUUUCAGACUUGUUUUAUCAAGCAGUGCAGCUGAUGAAGCCUUAUUCAUAAAUGCUAAUUGUCCUCCCCAGAGGAUGCAGGUUUGUUUCUUUGUCUAGUUCACUCGGUCUCCACAAUGUUUACAGAACCUGGGCUUGAACCUAAGACGUCUUCCACGGCGCGUUUGAGGUAUGCUGCCUGCACCAUGGGAUGGUCUCGCGGACACCGCUUCACUCAAGGAGGGGAGAGUCUUUUUCCUUUGAAUAAUGAAACCUGUAUCCUGAAUUGCCCUGAAUUAGGUGCAAAAAUGCACCAGUCCCUAAGCAUUUUGUAAAGGGAAUGCUCUUCCUUUAGAUACGAGAUUUGUGCAGUUAGUAUGUAAGCAUGUCGAUCUCUGUCAACAUGCAAGAGAAAUACGCUGUCCUUUGAUACUCAGCAACUUCCAGCACAGGUGCUCUGCUAUGGACCACAAAAACCAGAGCGGAGGCUCACUCCUCCCCCUCUUUGGUGGUGUCUGACGCAGUUACAUGGUCUGCAUUUGAAACUCCUGUUUUCCCUCACCAUGCCACAGUGGAUUUGCACCUAACAGAUACAGAUAUCAUACACACAUGCAUUUACUUGUGUGUUUCAUCCACAGUUUGAAAUGCAGCUGCAUUUAGUGUAGCAGACCACGACUUUUUAACCCAACAAUUACCACAGUCUUAGGUAAGCAGGACGUGUAAGAGGCUUCUGCUAACUUUCACCAGAUUGAAUAUUUGAUUAAAAUCUUUGCAGCGAUAAUGAACUGUUGGGACAUUAUUUUUUUGAAGUAUAUGUUUUUAAUAGAUUCGAAGAAACAUAGGACCUGAUAUCAGCUACAUCAUUACAGUCUAAUUGAAAUAUUAUUUUUAAUACAGAUUUACUGACAAACAUUUCUCAAAGGAAGUUUUAUUCAAAUAAUAUCCCCUUUCCCUCUCUCCAUUUGCAUCUGAUGAUGUAGGCAGUGAGAAGCCAGGGUUGUGGGUGGUAGCUGGUGCAUAGAGAUUUAUUUCACAAUCCAGCUUUGGCAGCAACCGUGCGAGUUUUUUUUUUGUUUGUUUGUUUUUUAAUAAAAAGUUGCAGUUCUUUUCUGUUUGUGCCAGUUCCCAGGUAAGCAGAGUGUUCCUGAACAUAGUUUCUUCAGCUAGCGGGUAACAACUUUCUUGUCUGGCCAGCUUCUAAGGAUGUUAAGCAUGCCUCUAUAUUUUUUGCUCCUCUCUUAAAUUUCUUAGCCUCCCACUGUGGAGCUCACAGCGGGUUUUGCAAUCACAGGAUUAUCGCAGGGACAAGCAGUGGCAGCAGACGUGCUUCACACCAUGCUGCCGGUGCCAGCCCCAGGGCUGAGCCCCAUCGAGACAACGGUGCUGAGCUGUGACCUUCCCCAAGCAGUGCUGCAGCCCUAGGCACACCAUCUCCUCUGGUCCUUUCCUGGUGCAUAUACUUCAUUAAAUGGAGGAUAUAAAACUCCUUAAUUUGCCUCUCCUGUGCCCUGUUAGCACAGUGCAGCUGAAGCACCUUCUGGAGCGAGGCUGCCGAAAGCAGGAUUUGCUCCCGACUCUUCCUUUCCCUCCAAGGUGGAUGUUUUAGCUACAUGCUGGUCCGCAAACCUUCCGUGCGAUCUCUGCACCUUUACGGACUUCAGGACUGGUGAUUGAGUUUUUUUAAUUCCCCAGGGGCCUUAGAAACUGGGAGAUUCAACUUAAUGCAGUUAAAGAUUAGAGGUAACACACUGAUUUCACUAACUGACAGUUUUCCUUUAAUUUGCUCUUGUCUUUGUUUUCACUGUGCCAUCAGAAAGCAAAAUCACUGAGCUAAAUUUAAGAGCCUAAGUGAAAAAAUAAUUUAUGAAGAUAAAUACUCACUUUGAAGUUAAUUCAGUAUUUUUAACAUGACUUAUCAAAGCACCUGCACCUGUCCCCUUUGCAGGUUCCAGCUCAAAUGUUGCUCAGCAGGGAGAGGCUGGAAUGUCACUACAAAUCCUGGACUAGAGUCGGGAUGUUUUUUUUCCUCCUCAUUCACUAGAAUAACUUAUUUUCUAAGAAAUGAAGUCUAAUUAAACAUGCAUUUGGCAUAAAAGCCUCUUUAUUUCCUUAACAUCAAUUGUGUGUGUGUUUAAGCAUGUGGGGUAUAGGCAUGUGUGAGAGAUAUGAAGGACCCUAAUCAAGCUUGCAGAAUUAAUCAGAAUUAACAAUUGACAUUUUAAACUCAGCAGAAGAGUCAAGUUUUGUUUCUGCUACCUGGAGUCUCAGUAUUACGCUAACAUCUGGCCAAUUGCAGAAGGAAAGUCAAGGGUUCUAACUCACCAUUAGGUGGUGCCCCUGCCUUUCACUGAAAAAAUAAAACCAAGAAAACCAAAAAAUUUUUGCACCAAAGAAUUUACUACCUUCAUUUUCAUUAUGCAAAUAAAAACAGUUCUAAGAAAGAAUCUGUAGAGGAAGAUUACGUUUUAGUGUGGGAAUAAAUGAAAUACAUGCACGUUUAAUGAAAGAGUUCUUGGCUAUCGAGGUGCUUGGAAGAGCAGAGCAGCUCCCGCCCGGCGCCCAGUUACGCUGCCGUCGCCCGGGCCUCGACGGUGCUGCCCAGUGACGCCGCACCUGCCCCUGCCGCCACGGUUCUGCGGUGGGCGUGUUUUACGCCUAGCCUUUCUUACUGCGGUUCCUGCCGAUCGCAGAAAACUGAUGUCCAGGAGGGGCGUCUCUGACCCACUGAGAGUCAUUUUACACCCUGGAGCCACCUCCUGUCCCUGGAUCCAGAACACUCCACCUGGUUAGGCACGAGAGCAGCUGGACGCCAGGUCCAGCUCCAGCCGGGCUCCAGUUCCCAAAAUGAAUCUAAGUAAUAUGGAAAGUAGCUUGCACAAGGAAUUUACCCAGAUGAAAUCAUCUCUCUGACUCCCGUUACCGUCACCAGACCUGAUCCCGACCUGACCUGCAGACCACGUCCCAGCUUGGUCUUGGACCCGCCUCAUCACCGCAGCCUUGCCUGAUGGUCUGGGCUGGCGGCUGCCCCGGGCCCGUGCUGCUCUCCUCACCUCUCCGGGUGCCGUGGGACGGGCCAGACUGCCAGGCCCUACGCUGCCGGCCAGGAUCGCCCCAGUUCCCGGCUCCAUCGCUCAGAGGCAGCCGGCCCUCCCUGCUCCGUUUCUAACCGUGUCCUGUUGUCUCCAGAAUGCUCAUGCUGCACGACCUGCUGUGGGGAGCUGAUACCACCGCUGACUUCUGAGUCUGCAAAGACAGUUUUAAACAAGCUUCUCCAAACCGAAUUCGAUGUUUUUGGGUGUUGCUUGCUCCUUCCGUUUCAGAGUUUCCUGGGAGUCCUAGCUCAGCUUUUGCCCCAGGAAGGUGGCUGUGCUGACACGGCGGUGAGCGGCCGGGCUGCAGAGGUGCAGGUAAGACUGCGCCUUUGUUCCUGGGCUGCUGUGGAAAACAAUCCCUGGGAAUGCGGCUUGCACCUGCUUCCUUUCUUGAUGUCAUCCUUGGAGAUGAACUUUCAGGCUGUGUCAAACCUAAAAGAAAAAAAAAAUCAAACAAAAGCUCUAGUCAUUGGUGAAGGAUUUUCUUCCUUGAACCUCUUCCAAAAUCACUAGCUGCAUGUGCCUUCAUCUGCGAGCGAGCAGGAACGUUCUCAGCGCGCUGCGGAGGAGGCCAUCGCGUUGCUAGUGCGCGUCCUUGGCAGGAGGAUGUGAAUCUGCCCCGAUGCCGAGUGAGACGAGGGAGGUGCUGGGAUGGGAGAUCUCCAUGAAUAUACAGACCGUGCUCUCGGCAGUUCAGCCAAGAGGGAGUGGGCAUGCUAAUCAAGCUCCGAGUACCUCACCUAGGCUGUGCCCACAGCUUUCCCUGGAGCACUGCGUGGGUAUUUGGUUAUUAAAAUCUAACUGCUGGUUGUCAGACCUGGUGCAGGUACUGCUCAGGUCGAAUCCACUCCCCGAGUCACGCAGUGAGCGGUUUGCAAGCGUAACUCGCGGGGCCAGGUCUUCUCUGGCUGCUUUCAGCCUCCCCCGGUCCCAAGGGCUGGCACGCGCUGCGGAGGCUUUGGCUCGCAGGCAGCUGCGUCCCGGCGGGUCAGAGGUGCGGGAGCGAGCCAACCCCCGCGGGACGCGUGCUGAGGAGCGACCCGCCGGCGUGAGCCACAGCAUGCGCGGAGCUCGUGCUGCGUGCUGGCACCGCGGCCGGCGGCGGCGAGGCAAAUCGGUGGAGAAGAGCUGCUUUGGCCUGUGCAGCAGCCAGUUUCUAAGGGCUGCCUUGCACCCAAAUCCUGCGUGGUCCCGAGAACCGAAAGGCGCAGGCUUGCCUGAAAGGUAAAUGUCCAGGGGGGUGGUGGUAGGAGAGAGACAACAGCGUUCCCAAGCUAGACUUCCAAGGAUACUGGCACGCAGGCUGAGGUUCGCGGCCACCUCUGGGAUACUAGUACUCAAGCUGCAGAAGGGUGACAUUGCUUAGUGCAAGGCUCUCAGAGACCCCACUCCCGAGAUGCUGCUGAUCUGUACAGAAAACUGGUCUGAAUGGCGCAAAGAUGCCCGAGGUCACCCAGGGUGUCCGUCUGUCCCCAUGAAGCCUCAGGCCUGAGCUGCUCCUCUGAAAUUUCACACAGAUGUUCUAAAUGGCUUUCUCUGUUUUGUUUUUUUUUAAUUUUUGAUGCUAUGACAAUGAUGCAAUGAAGUAGAUGAACCAUUCUAUCAUGUAUAAAGUCAUUAAACACAGUUGCUAUUUAGCUCUAAUCAAAACAAUAACCAAGAUCAAGGCGUCUUACUGCCAAAUUGUUUCACUAUAGGGCCAGCAGACGGUAGUUCGUUGCACAUUACUUCUACUAGCCUGCCAUGAAAUAAUGUUAAUAAUACAAAUAACAAAAAAAGAAACAAGCUCAAUAAAACAAAACAUUCAAAAUUAAAUUUCAAAAUGUUCCAAAAUGAAAAAUUUCUAAAACGAAUGUGUUCCUAUGGAAGUUUUCAUUGGGAAGCCUUUACAGAAAAGUGCAGGUUUGUCAGAAUAGCCUUUUCUAACCAAAAGCCUUGCUGUAAAUCAUGACUGAAGGGCAUGUCUCACCGGGGGCAGAGAUGGGCCCGGGGUCUGCGGCCACUCUGCCCCCAGCACCCCUCCAUUCCUGCAUGCCUCGGCAGGGGAAGAGACAACUGAUAUCAAAUCUUGCCUUUCUGUAGGCCACUGUGCUGCAGGUUGGCUUGAUGGAACAGGAGCAAAUCCCUCUCUUGUGGAAAUUUUUAAAGUUCAGACAUAAUAUAUUGAAAUGUAAAAUACAUUCAAAUUAGAGACUAGGUGUAACAGCGUUAGUGGCUUACCGCAGCUGGAAUUCGGUGCUGAGCAAGGGAAGGCGGCAAGGGCUGGCUCUAAUUUGGAUCAGAUGGCGUGCCAGAACAUGUGCGCUGGAUUUGGGAGGUUUUCUGCGGGGGUGGCAGGGGGUCAUCUGCCCCACAAUAGCAGCACAGAUUCACAGCGGCCAGCCUGGCUCGCUUCAGCGAGACCCGAGUCCUGACGAGAUGGGUCAUCCCAGCAGAUGAAGGAUCGAUCUCAGCAAGUUGGCCUAGUCAGAUAAUUGUACGUAAAUGAACACAGGCAGUAAAAUACCUCCUCAUUUACCAAAAAGCCUGGCUCUCCCCGAGCGGGACUGCGGCGGGCUGGUGGGGCACUGCAGGAAUCGCGCUGGAGGGACGGUCCGGCCUCGCUGGCUUCCAGCGGAGGAGAGCAGCGGAGGAGGUUCAAGGAGAUCCACGGUCGUCGCUCGCCAGCGCCAAAGGCUGCAGCGCUGUGCACGACUUCCGCGGAGGACCUGUCUGCGCCGUGCGUUGCGGGGAAUCAAAGCUGCUUUCGCUGCGCUCCCAGCACAGCUACCGAACACAAACUGUGCGGCAGCCCAGCGGGAGCCGCGCGCUGACCUGCGAUCAAAGAGAGACGUGGCUCUGCCGCCCUCAGUGCCAGGCGGUCUUGUUUUAACUUAAGAAUGUCAAAAUAAUACAGAAUAAAACACGUGAGGAAUGAUCUCCCAUUGCUAA